rfam:Fungal sp. No.14919 DNA, contig: Contig0063.
ACAUACGACCAUAGGAUCUGGAAAACGCGGGGUCCCGUCCGCUCCCCCAUAGCUAAGCCAGAUACCGCCAGAUUAGUAGUUGGGUCGGUGACGACCAGCGAAUCCCUGGUGUUGUAUGUU